GCAUUUUGGCUGAUGUGUCACGUUCCAUUCUUCUCAAGCAUUCAGAACUAGAAUUAAAAAUCCUGAAUCACGAAACCUUCUCCAGCAAUAGCAUCAAUCUAUCUCUCCUCUAAGCUCUGAGUGCACCAAUGUCGGCUCCUCUCCACGCCACGCUUUCUCGACCGCCGUCAUAUCCACGUCUGCAAUGUCAUCGUCCUAUAGAACCUGCAUCGCUUCGCCGAGAUAUCAGUCGCUGCACAUCCCGACGAUGACGACACAAAACCCUUUCUUGCGAAGAUAGCUCACCCACGCCUUCAAACCCCAUGGUUAUCGUUGUAAAUCGCGACCUCUCGCCGAAGCAGCAGCGGCGCCACACCUUUCCCCCAAAGCAUCCAAUUCAGAAACGAAGAUGGAGACUCCGAGAUGGGGCCACUACUGACGUACGCACCUCCGGCAAACUCCGAAAAUCCACUCCCUGCAUAUUGUUUAUGUUGUUUCCUGAACGAAUUGCUCCACUGGAACGAUUGAAAAUUCUGCUACAGGCCAUAAUUACAUAUGGAGAACUGAAGGUUUCCAUGGGAUGUUCAAAGGGAACAACACUAAUUGUACUCAAAUUGUCUAUAAUUCUGCUGUUGAAGUUCUUCACUUGCGAUUUACGAACACACUUACAAGUAAGAUUUACUUUAGAUACAAAAAGAUGCCUAAUUGCUUUUCUGUUUAGCAUUCUUUUUAUUGACUUUUAAUUCAGGUGUUAUAUUUUACCAAUCAACUCAGGGCUAUAGAAAGUUGGCUUCAAUCCUCUUUGAUCGUUUUUCUUUUACUGCACAAUUUUAUUUAGUCACCCCUGUGGCUAAUAUAUUUCUAUCAGUUCGUAUUUUUUUUUAAUUUCUCUGCUGUUUUCUUUGACCUUUACUUUUGAUUUGGACAGAGUAUCUGUAUCAGCUACAAACUGGAAAUGGUAUGUUCACGUUAACCAUUUUUUCUUAUGGAUUUGUGUUCGCCUAGAUAAUUUAUGAAACUUAGGUUCCUUCUUCAUCUUUGUCAUCUCACCUCUUUGCUAUGAUAUAAUUUUUCCACCUCAGUUAUUUUGGUGAUGUGCCUCUUAUUUACUUAUGAAUCAUAUCCCUCUUUCACACUGAGUUUAUCAUGAAAGUUUAUAGGUCCCCAGCUAGAGGGUGGUGCUUCUUGGAUGUUAUUCGUAUUAUAGUACUUGACACAUUAUUAUACCUAUUAUCUCUUUGAGCACUUUGUGUAAAGUGAACUUGUAUGUAUCAUUUAAGGCAUAUAUCUACAUAACCUCUUUUCAUCAGUGUUUUUCCCUGGUGCAGGAAGAUGAAUGAUAUAGUAGCUUCUGGUUCUGAAAUGUGUGUGGUGUGCCAGAACUCCCAGGGAAGAGAGAGGAGAAGUAUGAUAUCAUUGUUGGAGUUUGCAUAGUAGCUGACCAUGUAAGUUGUAAGAUCUCUUCACAUAAACAAACCAUAAUGCAUCUCAAUAAAGAGUUACCAACCCUUUCUUCAGUGUAAAUCAUGUCAAACAUGGAGCUAACAUGCUUUCUGAAGGUAUAAAUAGUUAUAGUCAUAAUCUCAGAAAGUGAACACAAGUCCAAAUAAACCAAACAACAAAGAAAAUGAAAAACUAAGCACCAAAACAUUAGGAAUGCGUCACCUUUUUAGAAUUUAGCUUGUCUCAAAGGUUCACUUUAGAGGGUGAACAACAUAGCUAUAGCCAUUGAUUGAGAAAUUAGCGGUUUAGAGUGUCUAAAAAUGCAUGCAUAUAUAUUUCAAACUAUGGAAUUAUUGAAAUCUCAAUAAUUGAUUUCCAAAUAAUGAUUUUAACCUCCAUUUUAUCCUUUAAAGUCUACUUCUCACUUUAGAUGAUCUAAAUCCCACAAUCUCACUUUGAAAAAGACAUUCUUUUAUGUUGUGAUGACAAUAAGCUCUUUCUUCACUUGCCUAUUAUAUAUAUAUUAUAUAAUAACAUUCAAAAGAAAAUGUACAGGAUGGACCAGUAAGUAUCUUCACACACAAGAAGGUCUAAAGUGAACAAGGCUAUCUAAUUCAAUUAUUUUUGUUGGGGCAUUCAACUUUAGUACAUUAACAGAGAAGGGAUGUUGCCUUUUAUUUGACCUAAAUAUAUGUUCACAUCUAUUUUGCUUUUGGUGCAGAUCUGAUUGCAUACACGACUCAUUUACUACCAUUUGGUGACAGGCACAUGGGGAUGGGUUAUGGUAUUGAAGUUGGACAAAUAAAACUGUUUCUUUUUUCUCUUGUGAUUACAUAUUUGAUUUUUUUUUACUUAUGAAUUUACAUGACCUUUGAUUUUAAGUUGUUACUUUUGCUAAACA